UUCUUCUUCUAGAGCUUCCCAGGGGUAUCCAGAGAAAGGGCUUACCUCCCCCGGACCCAGGUAUAAGACCCUUGGAAUGGAGCGUCACAGAGGGUGAGAAACCUGUAUUUGACAUGGACCGGCCAGUGCGUUGUGGUGUGCUCUCAAAGAGUCGAGUUGUUUGGGAAUGCAGCUCUAAAUGGGUGGUAAACUCCAUCUAAAGCUAAAUAUUGGCGAGAGACCGAUAGCGAACAAGUACCGUGAGGGAAAGAUGAAAAGGACUUUGGAAAGAGAGUUAAACAGUAUGUGAAAUUGUUGAAAGGGAAACGCUUGAAGUCAGUUAUGUUGGCUAGUGAUCAACCUAGCUAUUUUUGCUGGGUGAAUUUCCUAGUCUGACAGGCCAACAUCAGUCUUGACUGCUGGAAAAGAGCAGGGGGAAUGUGGCACCUUCGGGUGUGUUAUAGCCCUUUGUCAUAUGUGGCAGUUGGGACUGAGGGAUGCAGCGUGCCGCGAGGCUGGGUUUUGACCACGUUCACGCUUAGGAUGUUGGCUUUUAAUGGCUUUAAUCGACCCGUCUUGAAACACGGACCAAGGAGUCUAACAUGCCUGCGAGUGUUUGGGUGGAAAACCCUUGUGCACAAUGAAAGUGAAAGUUGAGAUCCCUGUCGUGGGGAGCAUCGACGCCCGGACUUGAGCUAUUAGCGAUGGAUCCGCGGUAGAGCAUGCAUGUUGGGACCCGAAAGAUGGUGAACUAUGCCUGAAUAGGGCAAAGCCAGAGGAAACUCUGGUGGAGGCUCGUAGCGAUUCUGACGUGCAAAUCGAUCGUCAAAUUUGGGUAUAGGGGCGAAAGACUAAUCGAACCAUCUAGUAGCUGGUUCCUGCCGAAGUUUCCCUCAGGAUAAUC
rnacentral:rRNA from 1 species